GUAUCAUCAUGAAGAUGAUGAUCGAUCUGAAUAGAUCGACACACAGAUAUCUUCCUUCAGGGUAGAUGAGUCUCUGAUCUACAGUGUGAAAAUACUGAGCGAUGAGUGCGGGUAGUUGUUAGAGAACAACUAGUAUUGAGCAUGAGCAUAUGAAAGAUCACUUGAAUUUCUACUCGAUCGUCAGUGAUUAUCUCGAUGCUGUAGUU
rnacentral:lncRNA from 1 species